CCAGGUAUAAGGUUGCCAUUACUAAACACAAGGACGUGGAGCAGAGUGUUGGCAGUCUGUACAAUCAGCAUGACAUCUGGAAUCCAGCUGUUGACUUCAGCAAGUACAUUGAAGAUAACGAAAGCAUUGAAAACGAGGUGUGUGUUCACAUUUUGAAACGUCUCGAAAUUGUAGAAAUGGAUCAACAGUUAACACGUACCUCCCAUUUCCUCCUCAUUUCUUUCCAGGACCUGGUUGCCUGGGUGACCACCGGUUUCCUCCACAUCCCCCAUGCUGAGGACAUCCCCAACACAGUAACAGUCGGCAAUGGAGGCGGGGUCCUGCUGCGUCCACACAACUACUUUGACGAAGACCCGUCCAUCCACUCUACUGAUGGAGUCUACUUUGCUCCAGGCUCUGAGGAAAGCUGCGAAAACAAUCUGAUGGCCUGCCUUCCUGAAGAGCCCUGCAUUCCUCUAACAGAACCUUUCACCUACAGUGGCUUCAACUGAAGCUUGAGUGAAAUCGCAAGAUAGGAGACU